UACGGAGGAUGCAAGCGUUAUCCGGAAUUAUUGGGCGUAAAGCGUCCGCAGGCGGCUAUGUAAGUCUGCUGUUAAAGAGUGAGGCUCAACCUCAUAAGAGCAGUGGAAACUGAAUAGCUAGAGUGCAGUAGGGGUAGAGGGAAUUCCCGGUGUAGCGGUGAAAUGCGUAGAGCUCGGGAAGAACAUCGGUGGCGAAAGCGGUCUGCUGGACUGCAACUGACACUCAGGGACGAAAGCUAGGGGAGCGAAUGGG
rnacentral:rRNA from 1 species